AACGAACGCUGGCGGCAUGCCUAACACAUGCAAGUCGAACGAGACCUCCGGGCCUAGUGGCGCUCCGCUGCGUGACGCGUGGGAAGCUGCCCUUAGGUACGCAAUACCUCCCCGAAAGGGAACUUAAUACCAGUUAAUGUCUUCCGACCAAAGAUUUCUCGCCUUUGGAUGGGCCCGCGUUGGCUUCGGCAGUUGGUAGGGUAAAAGCCUGCCAAGGCGACGUUCCAUAGCUGGUCUGAGAGGAUGAUCAGCCACACUGGGACUGAGACACGGCCCAGACGCCGACGGGAGGGAGCGGUAGGGAAUAUUGGACGAUGGACGCAGGCCUGGUCCAGCAGUGCCGCGGAAGUGAUGAAGGCCUUAGUGUUGUAAAGCUCUUUUACCCGAAGUGAUAAUGACAGUACCGGGAGAAUAAGCACCGGCUAACUCCGUG
rnacentral:rRNA from 1 species